AUGAUGGACUAUAGAGCAGGACUGCUGCUUUUAACUAUCUGCUGGGCAGGUGUUGAUGGUCAGACUCUGACAGAAUCUGAACCAGCGGUUAAAAAGCCUGGAGAAUCCCACAAAUUGACCUGUACAACCUCUGGAUUCACAUUCAGUAGCUAUAGGAUGGUCUGGGUCAGACAGGCUCCUGGAAAAGGACUGGAGUGGAUUGCUUAUAUAAGCACAGGCAGUUCUCCUAUCUAUUACUCCCAGUCAGUCCAGGGUAGAUUCACCAUCUCCAGAGAUGACUCCAGCAGUAAGCUCUAUCUACAGAUGAACAGCCUGAAGACUGAGGACACAGCAGUGUAUUACUGUGCCAGAGACACAGUGAGAGACAGUAAUAGGAGACUCAUACAAAAACUACUUCCACUAUUUACCUCAAAGACUUGGAGUAUUCAGUAG